UACGGAGGAUGCGAGCGUUAUCCGGAUUUAUUGGGUUUAAAGGGUGCGUAGGCGGUUUGUCGCGUCUGCUGUGAAAGCCCAGGGCUUAACCCUGGGUUUGCAGUGGGUACGGGCAGGCUGGAGUGCAGUAGGGGAGACUGGAAUUCCUGGUGUAGCGGUGAAAUGCGCAGAUAUCAGGAGGAACACCGAUGGCGAAGGCAGGUCUCUGGGCUGUUACUGACGCUGAGGAGCGAAAGCAUGGGGAGCGAACAGGAUUAGAUACCCCUGUA
rnacentral:rRNA from 1 species